rnacentral:rRNA from 1 species
UACGGGGGGGGCAAGCGUUGUUCGGAAUUACUGGGCGUAAAGGGCUCGCAGGCGGCCGACUAAGUCAGACGUGAAAUCCCUUGGCUUAACCAAGGAAUGGCGUCUGAUACUGGACGGCUUGAAUCCGGGAGAGGGAUGUGGAAUUCCAGGUGUAGCGGUGAAAUGCGUAGAUAUCUGGAGGAACACCGGUGGCGAAGGCGGCUUCCUGGACCGGUAUUGACGCUGAGGAGCGAAAGCCAGGGGAGCAAACGGG